CACGCUGUAAACGAUGAAUACUAGGUGUGGGGGGUCUGACCCCUUCCGUGCCGGAGUUAACACAAUAAGUAUUCCACCUGGGGAGUACGACCGCAAGGUUGAAACUCAAAGGAAUUGACGGGGGCCCGCACAAGCAGUGGAUUAUGUGGUUUAAUUCGACGCAACGCGAAGAACCUUACCGGGGUUUGACAUCCUGCUAACGAAGCAGAGAUGCAUUAGGUGCCCUUCGGGGAAAGCAGAGACAGGUGG
rnacentral:rRNA from 1 species